UCUCUGAUAGUAUAUCGGUCAGUACACGCGCCUGUCAUGCAAUAAAUGUCUGCUUGCGCGCGAAAGCUGGGUUCGACUCCCAGUCAGAGAG